UUUCAAGCAGAAGACGGCAUACGAGAUGCGCAUUAGUGACUGGAGUUCAGACGUGUGCUCUUCCGAUCUGUUUCCCAGUCACGAUAAUGAUGCGGUCACGUAAUGGAUUUGAAUCUCCAGUAUCAAGUCUCAACACUGAGAUGAACUCACGUAAUUUUUCUUUCGGUGUUUUAAUCUUUUGGAUUUGGUUGUUAAUAAUAAAGUCAACUAAAGAAAAGUCUUCUGAAUUAGUAUCAAUGUCUAAGACAUUAGCAUCGAUUUCAUUUUUUUCAGAACAAAGAAUAGCCUUAUACCGUAAAACUCCAUUUAAGCGAUGGAAACUGGAAGGCUAGAGUGUGGUAGGGGCAGAGGGAAUUCCCGGUGUAGCGGUGAAAUGCGUAGAUAUCGGGAAGAACACCAGUGGCGAAGGCGCUCUGCUGGGCCAUAACUGACGCUCAUGGACGAAAGCCAGGGGAGCGAAAGGGAUUAGAUACCCCUGUAGUCCUGGCCGUAAACGAUGAACACUAGGUGUCGGGGGAAUCGACCCCCUCGGUGUCGUAGCCAACGCGUUAAGUGUUCCGCCUGGGGAGUACGCACGCAAGUGUGAAACUCAAAGGAAUUGACGGGGGCCCGCACAAGCGGUGGAGUAUGUGGUUUAAUUCGAUGCAACGCGAAGAACCUUACCAGGGUUUGACAUCCUGCGAACCCCUGAGAAAUCGGGGGGUGCCUUCGGGAACGCAGUGACAGGUGGUGCAUGGCUGUCGUCAGCUCGUGUCGUGAGAUGUUGGGUUAAGUCCCGCAACGAGCGCAACCCACGUCUUUAGUUGCCAGCAUUCAGUUGGGCACUCUAGAGAGACCGCCGGUGAUAAACCGGAGGAAGGUGUGGAUGACGUCAAGUCAUCAUGCCCCUUACAUCCUGGGCUACACACGUACUACAAUGCUACGGACAAAGGGCAGCGAACUCGCGAGGGCAAGCAAAUCCCAUAAACCGUAGCUCAGUUCAGAUCGUAGGCUGCAACUCGCCUACGUGAAGGAGGAAUCGCUAGUAAUCGCAGGUCAGCAAUGAUGCGGUGAAUACGUUCCCAGGCCUUGUACACACCGUUAU
rnacentral:rRNA from 1 species